rnacentral:rRNA from 1 species
UGGUACAGCUGGGUAGCUAAGUUCGGAACGGAUAAGCGCUGAAUGCAUCUAAGCGCGAAGCCUUCUCCAAGACGAGUCAUCCCUAUCAGUCCCCUGGAAGACUACCAGGUUGAUAGGCCGGCGGUGUAAGCACAGCAAUGUGUUCAGCUUACCGGUACUAAUCGGACGAUUGGCUUAGCCACCUUCUCCU